rnacentral:tRNA from 1 species
GAAGGUAUAGCCCAGGGGUAGAGCGCAUGCUUAGUGUGCACGAGAUCCUGGGUUCAAUCUCCAGUACCUCCA